CAGCCUGGUAGCGCAUCUGGUUUGGGACCAGAGGGUCGUAGGUUCGAAUCCUAUCACU
rnacentral:tRNA from 1 species